CCUACGGGCGGCUGCAGUGGGGAAUAUUGCACAAUGGGCGCAAGCCUGGUGCAGCCAUGCCGCGUGUGUGAAGAAGGCCUUCGGGUUGUAAAGCACUUUCAGCGGGGAGGAAGGCGGUGAGGUUAAUAGCCUCAUCGAUUGACGUUACCCGCAGAAGAAGCACCGGCUAACUCCGUGCCAGCAGCCGCGGUAAUACGGAGGGUGCAAGCGUUAAUCGGAAUUACUGGGCGUAAAGCGCACGCAGGCGGUCUGUCAAGUCGGAUGUGAAAUCCCCGGGCUCAACCUGGGAACUGCAUUCGAAACUGGCAGGCUAGAGUCUUGUAGAGGGGGGUAGAAUUCCAGGUGUAGCGGUGAAAUGCGUAGAGAUCUGGAGGAAUACCGGUGGCGAAGGCGGCCCCCUGGACAAAGACUGACGCUCAGGUGCGAAAGCGUGAGGAGCAAACAGGAUUAGAUACCCGAGUAGUC
rnacentral:rRNA from 1 species